CCCCUUUUCCCUCUGAUGAAACCUCCCACGCCGCUCCUUCUCUUUCCCCAAUCCCCGCCAGUUCGCCACCACGCGCCAAUCCCGCCGUCGCCCGUCGAUCCGGCGCGCACUUCCACCCUCGUCUCUCUCCCUGAUCUGGCAGCCCUCGGCCACGACGCUGCGAGCUCUGGCCGGCUUGACCUCGUCGCCCCCAUCCAAUAGGUGCUCGACGCCGCUCCUCGGGACCGCGGCGGUCUUCUUCAUGGGCUCUCUCUCCCUUCACCCCCUACGCCAUGUAUCGGCCCCUUCCUGAAGCUCCUCCUCAUCCGGGUGGCCCCCUGAUGUCGCCGAGUGGACCACGCCCACUCCCGCCUCCGCCUGCCUGUACCAGGUCCGGUCGCCUCUUCCUUUGGGCUUUGCGCAAUUCAUCGAGCAGGUCAUAUAUGUGGCAUGUGUACGUGUGCUUUUGUAAUGGAUGGUGGGAUUGUGUUCUGGUGGUUGGGGUGCAGGAUUUGCUCCUGUUGUUCAAGUUGAAUAGCGGGGAGAUGGUGCCAUGAAGAGCUAGUGUGGUGGUGAGGUUCAAGUUCUAUAACGAGGCCAUGGUUGUUUGCAUGUCUAUUUAGGUCUUUUUUUCUUUUGUAUGGUUGUUGGAAAAACAAAGCCGAGCCUAUUAGUUUGGAAAAUAAAGUCAAGCCUAUGUGUUGAAAAAUAGUUUGAUUAACUAGCAAGUGGCCAUUUGGUGCCGGUGAGUUGAGCUGGCUAGCUUGUGUUGAUGCAUGCAUGUUUGGUCAAGGCUAGCUAGUUGCAGCAGUUGGGAAUAGUACAUAAGAGAAGAGACCCUAUAUCAGCGUGUGUAAUCAGGAGUUCAGGACUGGCAUGUAUACUUGAUACUACUGUACAGCUUAACUAGCAGUCCCUGUAAGCAAACCAACUAACAUUGAAGAGGUCCUCCAUUCAUGUCAUAGUACGUACAUUCCUAGUUCUUUUUCCUUCAGUUUUGGUUCGUAGAUGUAAUUGUAAGUUUUGUAUUCUCGCUUUUGCUUUUCUUCUCAGUAUUUUGUAGUUCUGUAACAUUUAACUUGUAUGCCUAAGGCUGAAGCAGCCACUGACAUGUUAACAUCAUGUCCCGUGUGUUCUUUCUCAAAGAUGUAGAGCAGGGGUUCUUAUAGUUUGAUAAAUACAGGCCACAUCAGAUUCUGAAGGCGGUUUUGAAAGGGAGUGAGAUGAUGCUCGUCAAGACUAACUAAAAAGGUUAGUCCAUCAUGUCUUACCCAUUUAGUUAUGCGCCAAUUUAGUUCUGGACAACAUGAGCAUGCUGUAGAUAACUUGCUUUGAGACAUGCUCUUUUUAUUUGGGCCUGAUUUCUUAGCUUACCUCAUUGCCUACAUGGUACUGUUGUACUAUAUAUGAUGUAUGCACCUGCUUAUGCCCUAUUUUCCCAGAUGUGGCUCAUAACUGAGAUAUCUAUUUAUUAAAUCCAUCUUAAUUAAGGUGCGAUAGCACAAUUUGGUUAAACUCAUAUAGGAAAAGAUGUUGCUAUAAUCAAUUACAGUAAAAUCAUUUGCACAGAGAAAAAUAUUUCAACAUUAGACAAUAUGAUCUGGCAUGUUUGACCCUUGUCAGGCGUCCUCCUUUCUAGCUUUUGUUUUUCCCUUUACUAGCUUUGCCUCUUUUGGUCUUCAGCUUUCCAGACCUUGAUGCUUUUGAGAAUGUCCAGCAAACUUGGUUUCAUUUUAGUAAUGGAACCAGGGGGUGCCUCUCUGUUUAUCUAAAAAAGUGGACAGUAUUAAUUUUUUUUGGAAGUGCAUACAGAAAUAAUGGUAGCUUAACAUGAAGAAUGAUUGUGAGCUGUCACACGAAACAUAAGAAGUUGCUUAAUUUGGUAUGCGCAAUAUAACCUAAACUAUUGUUGGUGGAGAUUAGUGUGCUACUGCUAUUUAAUUUGUUUGAAUGAAAAAUUAUAUUUAUAUCUUUCUUUACAUGGCAUUCUUAAUCUGUUUUUUGUAUUUAUUGUAUGCCCAAACUAGCCAAUAGUGUUAUGCUAGUCUACUGCUUCUGUUGUUUCAUCAGACUGCAAAAUAUAAGCGCUAGUAUAUAUACUUCAGUGGGGUUGCAGAUGUCCGUUGUACAUUUGUACUUGGUUAUCAUUUUACAACUUCAACAAGCCAAUGAAUCGAUUAUCGACACGACAUAUGUGUCUUUUAGAUAAGGCUUUUUUUACCUGUAUCACAUGGCCAUCUUGGUGUAACCAUAGUACAUGUGGGUUCUGGACAUAGGAUUGUUACAGUUAAUUAGAAAAAUGUCAUGUGCUUCGAAUUAUAUUAAUGUUACAAGUAAUUUGAAAAA